rnacentral:rRNA from 1 species
UACGUAGGGGGCAAGCGUUGUCCGGAAUCAUUGGGCGUAAAGCGCGUGUAGGCGGCUCGGUAAGUCUGCUGUGAAAGUCCAGGGCUCAACCCUGGGAUGCCGGUGGAUACUGUCGAGCUCGAGUCCGGAAGAGGCGAGUGGAAUUCCUGGUGUAGCGGUGAAAUGCGCAGAUAUCAGGAGGAACACCAAUGGCGAAGGCAGCUCGCUGGGACGUGACUGACGCUGAGACGCGAAAGCGUGGGGAGCAAACAGGAUUGAGAAACCCU